AGCAAGUCAGGCAGUCGCGGACGAGCGCCGAAAGGCACCGCCCGAGGAAAGUCCGGGCUUCACAGAGCGAGGAUAACGGCUAACGGCCGCCGGGGGCGACCCCAGGGAUAGUGCAACAGAAAAUAACCGCGUAUCGUCACGAUAUCAUAGGGGAGGGGCUUGCUCCUCCCGUAUUCGCCGACGACGCAAGGGUGGAAAGGUGAGGUAAGAGCUCACCGGGGUGGCGGAGACGUCACCGCCGUGUAAACCCUAUCCGAAGCAACACCGCGGAGGGACAAUAUGCUUGCUCGGCAGUCCCGUGGAGGUGGCACCGAGCCGCUGCGGCAACGCACGGCCAAGAUAGAUGACUGCCCAAUACAGAACCCGGCUUAUAGAUUUGCUCGC
rnacentral:RNase_P_RNA from 1 species